rnacentral:lncRNA from 1 species
GGCAUUUCCUCCCCGCUAGCUGGCGCGGCCUCGCCUCCCCCUCGGAAGAGGAAACUCCCGGGGUCCGAGUAACAGGGUCAGGCGCGGAGAGGAGCGGCGGGAGAGCCAGGAGGGCCGCCCAGGCUAUGUCCUCCUGCGCUGUCGCCACGCUGUCCGGCAGCGCUUCCUGCCCGGGUCUCCCCGUCUGGAGGGUCACGCCGCCUUCUCCUCGAGACACUUCCGAGAGCCGGGCCUCAGCAUCCUGCUGGAGAGUUACUACGAGCAUGAGGUGCGCCUGUCUCCGCACGUGUUGGGCCACAGCAAGGCGCACGUGAGCCGGAUCGUGGGCGAGCUGGUGCGGGCUGGCCGCGCCCGGGGGUCCCCCGGUCUCAUUCCUGGGGGAGCGCUGGCCUUGGCCUUCCGCGGAGACUUCAUCCAGGGUCUCAGUCUGUUGCCCAGGCUGGAGUGCAGUGGCAAGAUUGCAGCUCAUUGCAGCCUUGACCUCCUGGGCUCAAGCGAUCCUCCUGCCUCGGCCUCCCAACUAGCUGGGACCACAGGUUCCUUGGAAGAGUCAAAAAGUAAAAUGGAGAAACUGAGAAGUGUUAUCUAAAUGUCGACUGUGUUCUUUUAGGAAUGCACCAGCAUUUCUGGAACCACAGGAAGUUGGAACCAUUAAACGAGGGUUUUCUUUCUAGAAUCUCUGGUCUGCUGCUGUGCAGAUGGACCUGCCGGCACUGCUGUCAGAAGUGCUACGAGUCCAGCUGUUGCCAGUCAAGUGAGGAUGAAGUUGAAAUUCUGGGACCUUUCCCUGCUCAGACCCCUCCCUGGCU